AGCAGUAGCCACGGUAAUACGUAGGGUGCGAACGUUAAUCGGAAUUACUGGGCGUAAAGCGUGCGCAGGCGGUUGUGUAAGACAGGUGUGAAAUCCCCGGGCUUAACCUGGGAACUGCGCUUGUGACUGCACAGCUAGAGUAUGGCAGAGGGGGGUGGAAUUCCACGUGUAGCAGUGAAAUGCGUAGAGAUGUGGAGGAACACCGAUGGCGAAGGCAGCCCCCUGGGCCAAUACUGACGCUCAUGCACGAAAGCGUGGGAGCAAACAGGAUUAGAUACCCGCGUAGUCCCUGUCUCUUAUACA
rnacentral:rRNA from 1 species